AUGAGGCUUUUCUUGCGGAAUGUGGUCGUGAUGCUGUUAGUCACAGCUCUGAGUGGUGCUCUGAUCCCUGAACCAGAAGUGAAAAUUGAAGUUCUCCAGAAGCAUUUCAUCUGCCAUCGUAAGACCAAAGGAGGGGACUUGAUGUUGGUCCACUACGAAGGCUCCUUAGAAAAGGACGGCUCCUUAUUUCACUCCACUCACAAACGUAACAAUGGUCAGCCCAUUUGGUUUACCCUGGGCAUCCUGGAGGCUCUCAAAGGUUGGGACCAGGGCUUGAAGGGAAUGUGUGUGGGAGAAAAGAGAAAGCUCAUCAUUCCUCCUGCCCUGGGCUAUGGAAAAGAAGGAAAAGGUAAAAUUCCCAGAGAAAUAUAUCAUAAAGUAAUUGUUUAGUAGUUAUUUAUAUAUUAGAUGAACUGCCUAUCCAUGUCUGUGCUUUUGAUUGGCUCAAUGUGGAUACCUGAUGAAUGAGAGUUAUUAAUGGGAUUCGUUAUUUUGUAGGUUAAAGUGUAUUUAAAGAAGGAGUUUGAAAAGCAUGGUGCUGUGGUGAAUGAAAGUCAUCAUGAUGUUUUGGUGGAGGAUAUUUUUGAUAAAGAAGAUGAGGACAAAGAUGGAGUUAUAUCUGCCAGAGCAUUUACAUAUAAACAUGAUGAGUUAUAG